GAGUGACGGGUUGCUGCUUCCUUUUCUAUUCCUUCUGUUUCUCUUUUUUGUAGGCUUUUGGGGGCGUGGUCUCCUGAACUGAGGUGCUGGUCAGAUGCGUGCGACAGAGGAGAGAAGAGCUGGAGAGUUGGGUUCUUCCUAGUAGUCAAGUGCACUCGGAUUUUACUCUUUUCAAGAUCUUGAGUUUUGCUUUGUUUGCUGUCAAAGAUCUUGGGGUUGGGGUCACCUUGCGUGACUCUGGUGGUGGUUCAGUAACACAGGGUGUGGUAGCUUGCUGGAUUGGGUGUGGGCUAUUCGUGACUGUUGGCUGGCUGGUAAAGAGGGGAUGCAAGAUUGUGCCGGAAUGCCCUUCAAUAGAUAACAUAAGUUAAGAGUAAAUCCAAAUCGAUUACCGUAGGGACAUAAGUGAUCUAAUCGAAAUUAUAGGGACACUAAUGGUAAAAGUGAUUUAAAAUUAAAAAAAAAGACCAAAAUUGACUUUUUAUCAUGUAUUUACCGAAAAUUCUGCGGUGUCUCAGUUAUACUGGUACAGCUGGCUAUCUAACGGCUGAGUUUCCGUGUUAAAAAAGGAUAGCUGAGAUUCAAUGACUUAGUAACUUGUUGAGGCAUUUGUUAUUCAAAACGUGAGUGGCAUGUGAGGAAAGAGAAAGGCAGGUUCGGAGGAUGAAGAAGAUGCGCAGAGAAAGGCAGGUUUGGAGGAUGAAGAAGACGCGCGCUCGCCUCUCUGAUUGCCCAAAUCGAAAUCCUAAGAGCCCAUUUAAUCCUUAGCGCCUCCAGGAACUCUUCUCUUUGCUUGCCCAAAUUCAAUCCUUAGUGCCUCCACGAACUCUUCUCUCUGCUUGCCCACUGUCUCUGCUUGGCGACGAACUCUUGUCUCUGCUUCGCCAGAAACUCUUCCUCUCACUUGCCCAAAUCCAUCCUAAGCACGUCCAACUCUUGUCUGUGCUUGGGCAAAUCGCAUAUGCAAGAAGGUAAUGCUCACCGAAUUGAGGUCCUCAACUUUUCUCUCUGCUUGCCAAAACUCAUAUGCAGAUACCGAAUUGAUGGUGGGUCCAACCUCCAUGAUGAAAUGGUCACCAAAUUGGAGGUAUUUAAUUAAUUUAGUUUGUUCUGUUGGCAUUGUCUGAUAUAGAAUUUCAAUUUCGCAGGGGAAUGGAUUUGUAAUAACAAUGUGGUUGUAAAGAUUUCGAAGAUCCUUGGCUGUUAACGACGACAUUUGAGUUGGUGGCAAAAGGAAGUGUAAGGAGGAGGCUUUGAAAGUAUGGAAACAUCAAGUAAGAUUUCAAAGAACCCUCUUUCUGGUUUAGGACUUGAAUGUAUUUUGGGUAAUGAGUUGAUGCAAUUGCAUGUUUUUGGUUGCGAAACAGUUAUACGUGGUGCAAUUAUUGACCUGAGUAUGUGCAAUUGCAUGAGAUUAUUCAUUUGUGUUUUUUUUAAGAGAAUGUAUGUUAGCACAUAGAGUAUAAUGUAAUUUCAGUUUGAAAUUAUGUUUCUCAAGCAUGGAGGGGUCUGGUAAGAUGGACAGGGGUGUAGAGACAUCAAAGGAUGGUUGUAGUGAUUCAGGGUAUCUGGGUGGUUGUGAAAGGUUGAGUCACAGGGCACCGGCAACAGAGAGUGGGCAUAUGUCGGUUGAACAUAUGGUUAGUCAAAGUAGUGAUGAUAAUGAUGUUGACAUGAUUGCACCGAGGAAAGAAGAUGUUAUGGGGAAAGAGUUUAAAACGAUAGAAUUAGCAGAAGAAUAUUAUAUGAGUUAUGCAAAGGGCAUUGGAUUUAGCGUGAGAAAAGACAAAUUGGUUCGAAAUUUGGAAGGGAAAGUAUGUAGGAGACGGUGGUGUUGUUCUAAAGAAGGUUUGAGAAAUGAAGUUUAAUGAUCGAUCAGAUAGGAUUCGACCACCAAAGCCAAUUACAAGAGAGAAUUGUUUUGCCCAUUUUUGGGUGGGUUAUGAGAAGAAACGUGAUGUUUACAUCGUUACGAAUUUUAAACCACAUCACAAUUAUCAACUAGUUACUCCACUUGAAUCGCCAUAUCUUCAAUGUAACCGUGUCGUUCGAAAUUCCAAUUUAGCACAAGCAGUGGGAAUGCGAAGAGCAUUCCGAUUUAGCACAAGAGGUGUUACAUUUGGGUUAUGCUAGAGCUUAAUCAAAUAUAAAACAACAUUAUAAGCCAAACCCCCUAAAAAUCAAAAUUGAAACAAAAAUUGAACUAACCUAUUUCUAUGCUAGAGAAAUAGCUUAGAUUAGAACUCAAAAUUAUAAAAACAAAGUGAAAGGAAUGAGAAGAGACAAGAGAGGCACCUGGUGGCAAUGGGAGUGACGGGUUGCUGCUUCCUUUUCUAUUCCUUAUGUUUCUCCUUUGUGUAGGCUUUUGGGGGCGUGGUCUCCUGAACUAAGGUGCUGGCCAGAUGCGUACGACAGAGGAGAGAAGAGCUAGAGAGUUGGGUUCUUCCUAUUAGUCAAGUGCACUCGGAUUUUACUCUUUUCAAGAUCUUGAGUUUUGCUUUGUUUGCUGUCAAAGAUCUUGGGGUUGGGGUCACCUUGGGUGACUGUGGUGGUGGUUCAGUAACACAAGGGGUGGUAGCUUGCUGGAUUGGGUGUGGGCUGUUCGUGAUUGUUGGCUGGCUGGUAAAGAG
rnacentral:lncRNA from 1 species